rnacentral:rRNA from 1 species
CCUACGGGUGGCUGCAGUGAGGAAUAUUGGUCAAUGGGCGCGAGCCUGAACCAGCCAAGUAGCGUGAAGGAUGACUGCCUUACGGGUUGUAAACUUCUUUUAUAAAGGAAUAAAGUGAGGCACGUGUGCCUUUUUGUAUGUAUUUUAUGAAUAAGGAUCGUCUAACUCCGUGCCAGCAGCCGCGGUAAUACGGAGGAUCCGAGCGUUAUCCGGAUUUAUUGGGUUUAAAGGGAGCGUAGAUGGGUUGUUAAGUCAGUUGUGAAAGUUUGCGGCUCAACCGUAAAAUUGCAAUUGAUACUGGCAGCCUGUAGUACAGGUGAGGUAGGCGGAAUUCGUGGUGUAGCGGUGAAAUGCUUAGAUAGAACGAAGAACUCCGAUUGCGAAGGCAGCCUACUAAACUGCCACUGACAUUGAGGCUCGAAAGUGUGGGUAUCAAACAGGAUUAGAUACCCGAGUAGUC